UGGCUAUAACUGUUAUUAGUUUUCCAAAAAGUAUUAUCAUGAUUGUCAUAACACAUUAACACAUUCCUCUUAUUGUGAGUGUUGCUCCUCAUCAGAGCACAUGGCUUGUCACUGCCUCCAUGUUGGAGACAUCAGCUGUUGUAGUUGGCAUGAACACAAAUUUUUCUGAACCUCACCAAGCCAAAGAAAGAAGUCAAAGUGAAAUUGAACGUAUACCAGAAUAAAUUAUUGGUGCGAGUAAA